rnacentral:rRNA from 1 species
GGGCCCGCACAAGCAGCGGAGCAUGUGGUUUAAUUCGAAGCAACGCGAAAAACCUUACCAAGACUUGACAUCGUAUGACAUCCAUAGAAAUAUGGCUUCCCUUCGGGGCAUAUAGACAGGUGGUGCAUGGUUGUCGUCAGCUCGUGUCGUGAGAUGUUGGGUUAAGUCCCGCAACGAGCGCAACCCUCAUAACUAGUUGCCAAUAUUUAGUUAGGAACUCUGGUUAGACUGCCGUGGAUAACACGGAGGAAGGUGGGGAUGACGUCAAAUCAUCAUGCCCCUUAUGUCUUGGGCUACACACGUGCUACAAUGGCUAUUACAAAGAGCUGCAAGCUCGCAAGAGUAAGCGAAUCUCAAAAAGAUAGUCUCAGUUCGGAUUGUGGGCUGCAACCCGCCCACAUGAAGUCGGAGUUGCUAGUAAUCCCGAAUCAGCAUGUCGGGGUGAAUGCGUUCCCGGGCCUU